rnacentral:rRNA from 1 species
CAGGAUGAACGCUAGCGGCAGGCCUAAUACAUGGCAAGUCGAACGGGAAAGGCUCCUUCGGGGGCCGUUGAGAGUGGCGCACGGGUGCGCAACGCGUAUGCAACAACCCCCGGACAGGCGGAUAGCCGGUGGAAACGCCGGAUAAUACGCCAUGGUUCCCCGGGAGGGCAUCCUCCUAGGGAUAAAGCAGCGAUGCGGUCGGGGACGGGCAUGCGUGCCAUUAGCUUGGUUGGCGGGGCGACGGCCCACCAAGGCUGCGAUGGCUAGGGGAUCUGAGAGGACGGUCCCCCACACUGGUACUGAGACACGGACCAGACUCCUGCGGGAGGCAGCAGUAAGGGAUAGUUGGUCAAUGGGCGGAAGCCUGAACCAGCCCAUGCCGCGUGAGGGAAUGAGGCCCUACGGGUCGUGAACCUCUUUUAUUCGGGGACAAGGACGGCGUCGUGAACGCCGUUUGAGGGUACCGAAGGAAUAAGCGUCGGCUAACUCCGUGCCAGCCGCCGC